GACGAACGCUGGCGGCGUGCUUAACACAUGCAAGUCGAACGAUGAACCCGGAGCUUGCUCCGGUGGAUUAGUGGCGAACGGGUGAGUAACACGUGAGUAACCUGCCCUUGACUCUGGGAUAACUGCGGGAAACUGUAGCUAAUACCGGAUACGACCCUCGGCGGCAUCGCCAGGGGGUGGAAAGAAUUUCGGUCAAGGAUGGACUCGCGGCCGAUCAGCUAGUUGGUGAGGUAACGGCUCACCAAGGCGACGACGGGUAGCCGGCAUGAGAGGGGAACCGGCCACACUGGGACUGAGACACGGCCCAGACUCCUACGGGAGGCAGCAGUGGGGAAUAUUGCACAAUGGGCGCGAGCCUGAUGCAGCAACGCCGCGUGAGGGAUGACGGCCUUCGGGUUGUAAACCUCUUUUAGUAGGGAAGAAGCGAAAGUGACGGUACCUGCAGAAAAAGCACCGGCUAACUACGUGCCAGCCGCCGCGGUAA
rnacentral:rRNA from 1 species